GGGGGAUUAGCUCAAAUGGUAGAGCGCUCGAUUAGCAUGCGAGAGGUAGCGGGAUCGAUGCACCGCAUUUUUUA
rnacentral:tRNA from 1 species